rnacentral:rRNA from 1 species
UGAGGAAUAUUGGUCAAUGGACGCAAGUCUGAACCAGCCAAGUAGCGUGCAGGAUGACGGCCCUAUGGGUUGUAAACUGCUUUUAUAUGGGGAUAAAGUGGGGAACGUGUUCCCUUUUGCAGUUACCAUAUGAAUAAGGACCGGCUAAUUCCGUGCCAGCAGCCGCGGUAAUACGGAAGGUUCGGGCGUUAUCCGGAUUUAUUGGGUUUAAAGGGAGCGUAGGCCGCGUUUUAAGCGUGUUGUGAAAUGUAGAGGCCCAACGUAUGCAUCGCAGGGGGAGCUAGGACGCUUGAGUACGCGCAACGUUGGCGGAAUUCGUCGGGUAGCGGUAAAAUGAUUAGAUAUGACGAGGAACUCCGAUUGAGAAAGCAGCUGACGGAAGCAGCACUGACGCUUAAGCUCGAAGGUGCGGGUAUCAAACAGG